rnacentral:lncRNA from 1 species
AUGGCGGCCAUCUUGGUUGGUUGGACGGGACGCCGGACACAUUCUUUAAACUAGAUACCCCAAUGAUGAUUGUGGUCAAGUUUGGUUUAAUUUGGCCCAGUAGUUUCAGAGGGGAAGAUUUUUGUAAAAGUUAACGACGACGGACGACGACGGACGCCGGACGCCAAGUGAUGGGAAAAGCUCACUUGGCCCUUCGGGCCAGGUGAGCUAAAAAUAU